GACGCGAAGCAGCCAUGGAGCAACUAAAAAUCUUCAUCCUUUCAAUCCUCAAAUUUUAUCAAACUAAGGAGCUAAGUAUCAAGGUUGAGAUCCUAUGGGGCAGCAUAUACAUAUUGUGUACGGAUAAAUGCUAAAGGUACAAAUAUUAAUUUCGAGAAUCCGCCAGCUUAGAAUUUCCACUCAGCUAUUUUGGAAGUGUUUCAUUAUUCCGAAGCCU